rnacentral:rRNA from 1 species
GCCAACGGCCAUAUCUUGUUGAAUACCCCGGUUCUCGUCCGAUGACCGAAGUUAAGCAACAUCGGGCCCAGUUAGUACUUGGAUGGGUGACCGCCUGGGAACACCGGGUGCUGUUGACU